rnacentral:rRNA from 1 species
UACGUAGGGACCGAGCGUUGUCCGGAAUCAUUGGGCGUAAAGAGCUCGUAGGCGGUCAGUCGCGUCUGCUGUGAAAACUCGGGGCUUAACUCCGGGCCUGCAGUGGGUACGGGCUGACUAGAGUGCGGUAGGGGAGACUGGAAUUCCGUGGUGUAGCGGUGAAAUGCGCAGAUAUCAGGAGGAACACCGAUGGCGAAGGCAGGUCUCUGGGCCACUACUGACGCUGAGAAGCGAAAGCAUGGGGAGCGAACAGG